UGAGUAACACGUAUCCAACCUGCCGUCUACUCUUGGCCAGCCUUCUGAAGGAAGAUUAAUCCAGGAUGGCAUCAUGAGUUCACAUGUCCGCAUGAUUAAGGGUAUUUUCCGGUAGACGAUGGGGAUGCGUUCCAUUAGAUAGUAGGCGGGGUAACGGCCCACCUAGUCAACGAUGGAUAGGGGUUCUGAGAGGAAGGUCCCCCACAUUGGAGCUGAGACACGGUCCAA
rnacentral:rRNA from 1 species